UCGUCGGGGCAUUGUCUGCGUGAAGAAAGAUAGGUUAUGUCGCUGCUGGUAUUGACAAAAAUAAACGUUCUAGAUUUGAUGGAUCAAAAUUAACUAUACAGUCCACAAACAUCAAGCCUAGCGAGUAUCAAGCGUUAUACAUUAACUUUUACCAAAUUUUAAUGAAGCGAGUAAAAUAGCAGAUAGGUAGGACGAGCUCGAGAACAGAAGUAGGAAUGAAGCACAUAGGUAAGUAUAAAAGAGAAGUAACUCACUCGUCGG